rnacentral:lncRNA from 1 species
GGAAUCCUGCAAACCCACACUUCUCCUAUGCAAGAUUUGAAAAUCUGGGGUUGUUAUUUUUCCAGACCGUUGAACAGAUUUGGUUUUCCCAUGGUCACAUUAAAAUCGCUACAAAUCUAUAAAUGUGGCAACGUAGGGUUUCUCCUACCUGAGUUGUUCAGAUGCCAUCACCCAUCUCUUGAAGAUUUAAAAAUCAUCAGUAGUAAAACCGAUUUAUCUCUCUCAUCAUCCUUCUCUUUAGCCAUCUUCCCCAGGUUGAUUCAUUUUGAUAUCGAUUCUGUAGACGGUCUUGAAUCCCUCUCCAUCUCGAUUUCAGAAGGGGAACCAACUUCUCUUCGUUCGUUGGAAAUUAUCAAUUGCGAUGAUCUUGAAUAUAUUGAAUUGCCUGCUCUCAACUCGGCAUGCUAUAAGAUCUUGGAAUGCGGGAAGCUCAAGUCGCUGGCACUCGCACUCUCAUCCUUGCAGAGAUUAAGCUUAGAAGGUUGUCCACAAUUGUUGUUUCACAACGAUGGUUUGCCCUCCGACCUACGUGAACUCGAAAUUUUCAAAUGCAACCAACUCAAGCCCCAGGUGGACUGGGGUUUGCAGAGACUGGCCUCUCUUACAGAAUUCAUAAUCGGUGGAUGCCAGAACGUGGAGUCAUUUCCCGAGGAGCUCCUGCUGCCCUCUUCUCUUACCACUCUUGAAAUGAAAUAUUUUCCAAAUCUCAAGUCUCUGGACGGUAGAGGGCUUCAACAGCUUACCUCGCUCACAAAAUUAUCCAUCCGUCAUUGCCCUAAGCUCCAAUUCAUUCCACGAGAGGGGUUUCAACAUUUUCCUUCUCUAAUGGAAUUAGAGAUCGAAGACUGCCCGGGGCUCCAAUCCUUCGGGGAAGACAUCCUUCGACAUCUUUCAUCUCUUGAACGAUUGUCCAUCCGUCAGUGCCAUGCACUCCAGUCCUUGACAGGAUCGGGUCUUCAAUACCUCACCUCUCUUGAAAAAUUGGACAUCAGUCUCUGCUCUAAGCUCCAAUCUUUGAAAGAAGCGGGUCUUCCAAGCCUUGCCUCUCUUAAGCAACUACACAUUGGGGAAUUCCAUGAGCUCCAAUCCUUGACAGAAGUGGGUCUUCAACACCUCACCUCCCUUGAAAAAUUAUUCAUCUUCAACUGUCCUAAGCUUCAAUCCUUGACAAGAGAGAGACUUCCAGACUCCCUCUCUUGUCUAGAUAUCCUCAGCUGUCCUUUGCUGGAACAACGGUGCCAAUUUGAAGAAGGGCAAGAAUGGGAUUAUAUAGCCCAUAUUCCAAAAAUAUUCAUCGGUUUUGAGGCAUUCUAACGAAGGUGUUUGCUACAGCAAUAUUUAGCCAGGUACUCGUUCUACACUGAAAAUAAUUUUCUUCAGAAAACCUAUGUUCCAAUUCAUUAAGUGGCCAAACUUAAGUUUCAAAUUUUCGAAUUACCUCAAGAAUUGUGCAUCUACAUAUAAUCCAUUUGCUAGUCAUGUUGUUGGGGAUUUGAUUUAACCCAUACAAUUGUCAUAUUCUAAUGGUGCACAUUUGUUCAUUUUAAGAUUCUUUGAAACCAUAGACCUGGAACAAAGAUUUGAAGAGGAGCAGGGGAAGAUUGAUCCCAGGUAGUUUACAUUUCACGCAUACAACCAAUUCUCAUAUUUCCAAAAAAUUUUCAUCUUUCAUGUGGACUUUUCUCACAUUCUCUGCUUAUUUCUCUUGUACAGGAACGGAGGAAACCAGAAACAUUUCUAGUUAACUGCUUGUAAGUAAGUAAUUUUACUUGCUUUGGUUUUUCCUUGCUGCUAUUCUCUCUUCCAGUGUUAGACAAGUGGAGAUUUAAGUCUGCAAGAUUUUUUAUUCCAGUGUUGCAAAACAUAUGUUUGAUAUCAAAAUUACUUAAUUCUUUCUCUUUUUGCAUUCAGACUCCGAUAAUCAGCUCCACUCUUUUGAAGAAUAUUGGUGGAGAUGGGGUUGUGCCGCAAGCUUUAUUUGUUUGAUUUAAGAAUUUUUCCAAUGAAGAUAAGAAGAGUAAAGGAAAAUUGAUCCUAGGUAAUUCACAUUUUAACCAGCCAAGAAUCAUAUUUCCAUGACUUCUUCAAUCUACCUUUCAAAAUGCAAAGACGACUUUUAUCCUUUUGAGGACCUACCAUGGAUUUGUACUUGUUGAUCUCUUUCCCAUGCUACAAAAUUGGGGAUUUAACUUUGUGAUGUAUUUAUCACAGGGUGUCCUAAUCUUGUGUAUAUACUUGGAGAGUAGGGUGCACAACAUGCUCUGUUUGUUUGAUUUAAAAGUUUUUCCUCAAGCUAGUUGUAACAGGGAUAUGAAAAGGAGCAAGGGAAGAUUAACCACAGGUAGGCAACAUUUUGAACAAUUUGAGACCAGAAUCUAAUGUGGUUUUGUGAACAUUUGUUUACAUUUUACUUCCAGAAUAUAAGUUUGUCUGUCUAUUUCUCUUGCAGAGGCACAGAGGAAAUCAAUAAGAUAUCAAAUUGCAAGAAUUUCAGGUCACUGAUGCAUGCUUUUUUACCUUAAUGAGUGUCACGAACUGUUCAUGGCUGAUGUCCCACAUGUAGCAAGAGACAAUCUGGCUUUCUAAUGACGAGGAUUGCACACCAAUUUACAGUCAAGUUUUGUGUUCUUUUCUCGAAAUAGCAUUUGAUGUAUGAGUUAGAUUUAUUGUAACUAGUGAAACAUAUGAUUGAAAAUUGUAAUUACUGUGCUAAUUUUUGUUUUUGUUUUUUAAAAUAUUUCAGUUUGGUAUAUCAUUUGAGCAGCUCUACAGAUUUGGCUUCUUGAUUAGCAUUAUUGGGUUGUUUUCCACGGGCUAAUGCAUUGGGAACCACUUUUGAUUAUCAAUUUGUAAGGGGCUUUGUGUUUCAGGUAUGUAACAACAAAGACACAUACUACCUUCGGCCUCCCAAUAUCAUUCACAAGAUUGGUGCAGAACAUGCUCUGUUUCUUUGGUUUAAGAUUUAUUCCGAGGGUAGGAGUCUGGAACAAAAAUGGAAGAAGAAUGGGGGGAGAUUGACUUAGGGUAGCUAUUGCUUUAAGCAUACACAGCAAGCAAGACAAAUAGUUUUGAUGGAUGUCAUUCUCUUUUGCAUUCUGACUAGCAUUUGAUCCACGAACCCCUUCAGAUCUUGAUUCUCCGUUCAAGGGACUCCAAAACCUCAGUUCUUUUCAAGAAUUGAAUGUCAUUUUCUCAUACUUUUGAUGGAGUAGGAACCUUCCUUGUUUGUUGAUUUUAAGACUAACUUUGAAACUUUGAAACUCCAAACCAGGAACAAAUAUAUAAUCUUAUGAAAUAUGUUUUUUUGCAGAUACCUUUUACAUUCACCACCUUUAUAAAUCCUACUUAUUCUAAGGUAUUUCCUUUUCUUCCCUGCUCAUUGUAUGGAUAUUGUUACUUUGCUCCCUAUCAACUGAUCCAUUAGUUUUCUCAAGAAAAACAACAUCUGCAAUGCUGCAGCUAUUUUCAUGGCUGGUCUUGCUCCUAAAGCUUAAUCUUUUGUAUGUUCAAAGUAAGAAUUUAAUUAUUAUGGUGCUUCUUUGAAGUGGAAGGUGGAGUUAGGAAGAUGUGUCUGUUGUAGUGGCUGUGACAUAAUUGCUACUAAAAUUAAGAGAUACAUUGUUGAUGAUUCUCUCCUCCAGUCCUCCUUGCUGGGAUCUGCCAAAAUUGACCAGUGCGUGUGCCACUACCAUGCCUUUCCAUGCUAUAUUAUUGAAACAGAAUCGGUCAAAUUUUACAGAGGUGGCUCUGUUUUGAUUUGGCAGGCUGCACUUAUUAGGAGUCUCCAUUGCAAAAGGCCCUGGAGAUUAUUUUUUGUUCUGCACCAAGUCAACCAGUUUCAAAAGACAAGCCAGUUUAAGUAUAACAUCUUUGUGGUGUACCUUCUGAACUUUUUUCUUUCCUAAUUUUGAUGCCAUUUUCUUCUUGGGUUUGUCUUUCUUGGGUAUCAACAGUGACUGGGAAUUUUUGACGAAAUGGAGAUUGCUGACUUUCAACUUCUGUUCUUCUCUGCAAGAACAGUUCCAAUUCAGGAAAGGGAAAGAUGGCCAUAUAGCUCACAUUCAACACAUGGAGAUAGGCCUAGUGCUGUUCAAAUGAAGGUGGUGGUACAUCGAUAUAUUACCUGGUACUUGUUCUAUGCUCAAAAUAAAUUUCUUCCAAAAUAUUUGUUUCACUUAAAGAUUUUUCUCUUAGCCCAACAAGCCUAGUCCAUGAUAAUUCAUAUUUCAAUACAGCCAGCUUUCAUAUCUCUGUUUUUAUUUGGCAGAUUGCACUCGCUGGGAAUUCCUGUAACAAAAGGUUGUGGUGACGCUUUAUUCUACCUAAACAAGUGGACCACUUUCCAAAGGUAGGGGGAUAGAAUUCUAACAUCUUUGUUCUAUAGUUGCCACUCGUAUCUUUCCAAAUUUUGAUGUCAUUUUGUUAUUGUUUUCGUUUUGGUGUUUGUUAGGUCUUGAUUGCUGCGGGAGUAUGUGAAGAUGUUCUAUUGUUAUGGGGUUAUGGUCCUAGAAUUGAGAACCAUCUUGUGCUAAUUCUAUCGAUGACCAUGGGCAUUGGUUCUCAUUGUUUGUAUCUACAAGAGUCAACUAUAUAUUUGUAGAGAAAUAAUGUCUUAAGUUUUAAUGAAGGUUUACUCCAUGAGACUUACAAGAAGAACAUUGUAACUAAAUUGAUCAUACUUGGAGACUUUUUGUAGUUCUAUUUGCCAUUUUGAUGUCGGUAUCAUCUUGAAGUGGUGCAGUGUGUUUCCUCAUUGAACUUUUUGAUUUUAUAUGGAAAAGAUGAUUUUGAGCUUAUUCAUUGUUCUUUUUGCUAUUUUUGCUCAAUAUGAGAACUCUGAAAGCCAUCUCUUCCCUAAACCAUUCCUGAUAAUCAAUUUUGAGAAUCAUGAAACUGUUUCAUCGAUGACAGCAGCAAAAUAUCAGGAAUUGCAGAGCCUCAACUCUCUUGAAGAAUUGUGUAAGUACAAAUACCAUUGCUCAUACUGUUAUUGGAACUAA